rnacentral:rRNA from 1 species
ACAAAAUAUAUAGGUAGUAAAUUUAUUUAAACCUUUAUAUUAUGGCGGCAUUUCAUCUUAUUAGAGGAACAUGUUUUUUAAUCGAAAACACACGAUCAUUUUUACUCUUUCUAAAAUUUUAUAUACCUCCGUCCUGGAACUAUUUAAUUCUGAAAUAAAACUCUAAAAGGAUAGGUAAAGGUGUAAACCAUGAUUUAGAAAAAAUGUGUUACAUUAAAAAAAAUUUAAGGACUUACCCCUAAAAUUUUUACAAAAAAGGAUUUAAAAGUAAUAUUUUUAUAAUAUUUAAAUUUGAUUAAGAAAAUAAAUGUGC